rnacentral:pre_miRNA from 1 species
AUCACCUGGAGAUCUUGUUAAACUGCAGAUUCUGAUUUAGUAGCCAGGCAGUGGGAACUGGGAAUUUGCGUUUCUAACAAGCUCCCAGGUGAUGCUGA